rnacentral:rRNA from 1 species
GCUGGCGGCGCGCCUAAUACAUGCAAGUCGAGCGAGAAGACGUAGCAAUACGUUUGUAAAGCGGCGAACGGGUGAGGAAUACAUGGGUAACCUACCCUCGAGUGGGGAAUAACUAGCCGAAAGGUUAGCUAAUACCGCGUACGCUCCUUGGACUUCGGUUCAGGGAGGAAAGCGAUACCGUGGGUAUCGCGCUCUUGGAUGGGCUCAUGUCCUAUCAGCUUGUUGGUGAGGUAACGGCUCACCAAGGCUUCGACGGGUAGCUGGUCUGAGAGGACGAUCAGCCACACUGGCACUGCGACACGGGCCAGACUCCUACGGGAGGCAGCAGUAAGGAAUAUUGCGCAAUGGGCGAAAGCCUGACGCAGCGACGCCGCGUGGGGGAUGAAGGUCUUCGGAUUGUAAACCCCUUUCGGGAGGGAAGAUGGAACGAGCAAUCGUUCGGACGGUACCUCCAGAAGCAGCCACGGCUAACUUC